rfam:Hordeum vulgare subsp. vulgare, WGS project CAJW01000000 data, contig: morex_contig_1623998
ACGCCUUUCUCGGUCUUUUGGCUAAUAUCAAGUGUAGUAUCUGUUUUUAUUAGUUUAAUAUUUUAUAUGUGGGGCAUGAGCGCAUAAUGAUAUUAAAUUUAUUUUUUCUGAAGAAGGAUCCACCGUACUAGCUUGCUAGUGGGGCCCUCAUGUGUCGCUUGGGCAUUGCACUACUGCCUAGGCUUGGCGCACUCCAA